rnacentral:rRNA from 1 species
UACGUAGGCAGCGAGCGUUGUUCGGAGUUACUGGGCGUAAAGGGUGUGUAGGCGGUCCCUUAAGUUUGGUGUGAAAUCUCCCGGCUCAACUGGGAGGGUGCGCCGGAUACUGAGGGGCUAGAGUGCGGGAAGGGAAAGUGGAAUUCCUGGUGUAGCGGUGAAAUGCGUAGAUAUCAGGAGGAACACCGGUGGUGCAAACGGCUUUCUGGACCGUAACUGACGCUGAGACACGAAAGCGUGGGGAGCAACAGG